rnacentral:rRNA from 1 species
GACGAACGCUGGCGGCGUGCUUAACACAUGCAAGUCGAACGAAGAGCGAUGGAAGCUUGCUUCUAUCAAUCUUAGUGGCGAACGGGUGAGUAACGCGUAAUCAACCUGCCCUUCAGAGGGGGACAACAGUUGGAAACGACUGCUAAUACCGCAUACGAUCUAAACUCGGCAUCGAGGAUAGAUGAAAGGUGGCCUCUACAUGUAAGCUAUCACUGAAGGAGGGGAUUGCGUCUGAUUAGCUAGUUGGAGGGGUAACGGCCUCCCAAGGCGAUGAUCAGUAGCCGGUCUGAGAGGAUGGACGGCCAAAUUGGGAACGGGACACGGCCCAGAAUCCUACGGGAGGCAGCAGUGGGGAAUCUUCCGCAAUGGACGAAAGUCUGACGGAGCAACGCCGCGUGAGUGAUGACGGCCUUCGGGUUGUAAAGCUCUGUUAAUCGGGACGAAAGGCAUUCUUGCGAAUAGUGAGAAGGAUUGACGGUACCGGAAUAGAAAGCCACGGCUAACUACGUG